UACGUAGGGUGCAAGCGUUGUCCGGAAUUAUUGGGCGUAAAGAGCUCGUAGGCGGUCUGUCGCGUCUGCUGUGAAAACUCAGGGCUUAACCCUGAGCUUGCAGUGGGUACGGGCAGACUAGAGUGCGGUAGGGGAGACUGGAAUUCCUGGUGUAGCGGUGAAAUGCGCAGAUAUCAGGAGGAACACCGGUGGCGGAAGGCGGGUCUCUGGGCCGUAACUGACGCUGGAGGAGCGAAAGCAUGGGGAGCGAACAGG
rnacentral:rRNA from 1 species